rnacentral:rRNA from 1 species
CCACCUUUGACAUGUACGGAAUUUGCCAGAGAUGGCUUAGUGCUCGAAAGAGAACCGUAACACAGGUGCUGCAUGGCUGUCGUCAGCUCGUGUCGUGAGAUGUUGGGUUAAGUCCCGCAACGAGCGCAACCCUUGUCAUUAGUUGCUACAUUUAGUUGGGCACUCUAAUGAGACUGCCGGUGACAAGCCGGAGGAAGGUGGGGAUGACGUCAAGUCCUCAUGGCCCUUAUAGGUGGGGCUACACACGUCAUACAAUGGCUGGUACAAAGGGUUGCCAACCCGCGAGGGGGAGCUAAUCCCAUAAAACCAGUCGUAGUCCGGAUCGCAGUCUGCAACUCGACUGCGUGAAGUCGGAAUCGCUAGUAAUCGUGGAUCAGAAUGUCACGGUGAAUACGUUCCC